rnacentral:tRNA from 1 species
UUUAAUUGGGUGUAAUAACCAUUAAUUUCAUUAACAAUGAAAUGCCUCUUUUUGGCUUCAAUUAA